GCCUACGUCCCUGGCUCUCCAACGCGUAAAACGGAUCAAUCCACACAAGAUUAUAUCAAGCGGAAUAUGAAUCACCCACUCUUUCGUAGCCUAGUUGACGAAAUUUAAAUACGAUCACGAGGUCACUAUAUAAGAGAGGACAGUAAGAAAAAAACAUAUACCAAGUUGUCAUUGGGGUGAAGUUAUAGGGAGAAAGGAGCGCAAGAACGAGAACUUCACACAGUGUUCGACAUGGAGAGGUCCGUUAAACUUGCUUUAGUAAUUGUAGCUAUUUCCAUGCUGGUUUCUUGCAACCCAACCGAAGCAUGGUACAAGCAAGUUUCUGGCCCAAGCUACUACUCGGUGGGCAGAGCAUCGGGUUUGCUGUCCGGGAUCCGGAGAUCACCAUAUGUUAGGAGGUCCGAGACCGAUUCGGUGGCGGACAGCAGAGAGUCUACGGUGAACAGCAUCCUCUCGGAACCGAGCAGUCGACUGAAUUCGGUCCUUAAAUCUAUGGCUAUUUGUAUCAAAGAUAUCACACCGAAUCUGCAGAGCUGCGAACUUGUUCAGGAUGGCUCAAGGUUAUUUCAAUGUAAAGCAGACGUGUUCGUAUCGCUCGACUCAUUGGACUGUGUGGAAGCAUGAUCAGCACCGCGAACGUCGAUGGACUGAUAAUGUUCGAUGGAACCGAAUGUUUCUUAUUUUCACAAAUAUGGCACAAAUGUUGGGUGAAUGUCUGUUUUAGCAUACUGCCAUGCGCAGUCUGACUACUACUUCCCCUAACGGGUAAUAGCCAAUUUGUCUGUUAAAUCAUAUUAUGUAAUGCAUAGCAAUGUACAUAUGUAUUAAUUUCUUUGUUUAAUGAAUAAAUACAUCUUAUAUUGCACUCAAA